GAGGAUAAAUCACGGAUGAAGCCAAAACACUCUUCAGUGUGGACAAGCAAGGGAGAAGGACAAGGCUGGGACAAGCUCCAAAGAGGGCUCAAGCCAUCAUGUGUGCUCAGCCCUCGUGUCAGCUCCAGCUGAGACAAGAAGGGCUAGGGAGGGAGAGCUGCCACUUCAGUACAGUCUUAGUCAAGAGGCACCUUGUGGAGUGCCCAGCAGCUCAGAGGAUAAAUACCUUCAGGAAAGAGAGAAGUGACAAUUCAGUGUUUAAAUGUCGAUAUUGAAUCUGAUGGUCUGCCUGCACCUGGGGUCCAAGACACCUGAGGAUCCUUUUCUGAGCUGAAGGAUUUCUGGAGUCGUGAAAGAUUCCACUGCAAUGGAAAUGUCCUACACCCUCCUAAGAACCCAAGGAAAAAAUCUGCUGGGGCAGAAAUGGUGGCUGAUAUCAUCAGUGGUGCCUAGGAUGUUCUCUUAACCUGCUGGAUUGAAGAAAAAUUUCCUUCUGACCUUCACAGUCUGCCUUUAGCUCUUGAGGUAACCUGUUGAUGGCAGAAAGCUUUUCCCCACAUCCCAGUGGCCAUCCACCACAUCCAGAGGUAUCAGUUCUGGUACCUCUGCAUCAGCAUUCCCUGCCAGAUGGCUCCAAACCAGGAAUUCACAUACUCCUCAGUUGCACAGAAUGUGCCACCUUUUCUAUGAACUUGUUUUGAAUAUCUGAUCAAUCAUGAUUUUCCUGUGGAUGAGAGAUGGUUUUCCCUUACAACUUUGUGGUUCUAUUGGUUUUGAAACCAAUAUUUCCUUUGGGACGUUUUUGCUUACAGAAGGGUGUGAAAGAUACAGAGUUUUAGUUUUUAUUAGAGACUAACCUCAAGUGUGCCUAUAGGCAUUAUUUAAAAAAAAAAAAAAGUCUUAUUUUCCUAUAGGUUAUAAUUAAUUUUUGAAAAUCUCGAUAGUCUAUGUUUCUAGAAAUUAAUAUCAAUAUUAAAAUUCAAGAUCUAAAGAAGUAGAAAAUAAAAUUAAUAUCCUCUAUUUGUCAAGUUGCAUAGUAAAUAUACAAUGCUUGCUUUUUCUUUUCUUUAUAACUCUACAUGAAGCAUUGGGAAAGGAUGCAAUUUUUCCAUUUUUUUCCCUUAGACUAUAUAAAAGGUUCAUAGCUGAAAAUUUAAGGGAAAAUAUAAGAAUGAAGAGAUAAAUUAUCCUAAGAAAAAAGACAGGCUAAAACAGGUUUAUUAAAUUUAAAACUAGAACAACACCAUAAAAAACAAAAAAAACCCCAAAACCACCAACCCCCCCUCCAAGAAACCCUAAAAAAACUAAAACUCACCAGAAUUUAAUAUUUUAAUAUGCAGUUAUACUUUAAUUAUAAGAUUAUAUUAAAGUGUUAUAACAUAUUUGUUGCAAAGCAUGGAAAAUUUGUCCAGAAAUUUUUCCAGAGAAAUGUAAAUUACUGCCUUAGGUUUCCCCAUGUGUUUUCCACUGUACAUCAGAAAACCACAAAAAACAAAUCAUAUUUGGAAGCUGAGGUUGCUUACAGAAAAGUUUAGAUAGUGAUUCAAUUCCCUUUUAAUUUUUCUUAACUGAUGUUUUUUUGGUUUUUUUAACUUUUUCUCCCUCUGGGGAA